rnacentral:lncRNA from 12 species
CGCUUUUUCUUUAUUGUUUUCCUUCUACUAUCCUUGGAUUGCUGGAAUACUGAAAGACUAGCAAAGAAUAUGAAACCAAGAUGCAAGUAGAUCCUCAAAGGAAACAUUCAAUAUAUGAAAGAACUUUGAAUGACACAUGGAUGCCCAAAUCUGCAGAACCAAACCCAAGCUUGUUCAAAACCUUGGAAUGUCCCAGCAGCAUCCCACUUCUUUGGACAGACAUUAGCUGCAGUCUGGUAUGUGAAGUAAGGUGAGGGAGGAAUAAUGAAAGAGAUGGCU